rnacentral:lncRNA from 1 species
UGUGGCUCCCUGUGGUGCUCCUCUCAUGUUGCAUCUUCUUCCUCGCGGGCUUCUUUGGCUCCCUCCUCUUCACCCAGGUAACAUGGUGGGCCCACGUUACCCCCCGUCUCGCAAGUUCGUUUCGUCGCGCGCGGGCUUCUGAUCUGGGUCGCUCUGUCGGUUGUUCCAUGGCAGGAUACGCAUGGGGAGGAGGACAUGGAGCGGCCACUGCCAAGGGAACGGCUGCUCUAUUUACCCUUAUUGUCGGUUUCACUUGCCUAGCCUAGGUAUGCUGAGAUAAUCAUUAUGUGAGGUGAUCUAUCCAUUUUCAGUGUUCCCUCAUUAGUAUCCCUCAUUGUUAAUUUCUAUGCUUAAUUGGAUACUCUGUGUUGUGUUGUUUGCCUUAUUUUGACCCAAAUAAACCACCCCAUUACCAUAUUUUACACUAAAGCCAUAUUUAAUCAUUGACAUAACUUUGGAGGUUUAGUUCAAUUAAAAAGAUGAUGCCAUGUGACUGGAAAGUAUAUAUGUUCAGAUUAUAAUUUAAAUGGAUACGGUGAUUGGCAAUAGAUAAAUCAUAUUAGCCUUGCAUUGCAGAUUAUUUCCUUUUUGUGGUUGGCAUGAAUGGCUUUUGUACUCAAUGGUUUAAGCAGUUGCUCUUUGAAAUAUAAUUUUUCUAUGUAAGAUCUUACCGGCUAUUCUAUUAUUUAAAAUCAUUUGCCAUGUUUGUACUCUUGCGGAAGUUUGAAGAGUUUCCCGGGGGUGGCGAGGAGUACCGGCAUAUCGAGCCCCUGGUGUUUUCCUCUACGAGCUGGGGAGGGCGUGUGGUUCUCUCCUCGUCGGUCUCACUUCUCCCCUUCCUCCUCCAUGGUGCUCAAAAAUAUCACUGACUGCAUGAAUUUAAAAAAUUUGUAGUCUUAUACAAAUAGAAAAAAAUAUAUGAUCUGACCUCAUUUCCUAAUCCAACGGUAUCCUACUGCAUUAGUGUAUGAGCUGUUACACACAAACAUGGCUUGAAGUUUUCGGAUAAAUGGGACAAACAUAGGGUUGCAGAUUGUAAAUCCAAGUUUCUUUCGCAAAUCAAUUUGACACUAAUCCUUAGAAAAAAGAUAUUUCUGUUGCAAAGAUUGCGUUGUAUAGGUUGUUGACUUGAUUUACAUCACUCCAGUUUUACGAUGGCACAAAAAUUAAUUUAAUUCUGUUAAUUGAACCUGCAACUCUUUCUCAUCACACAUAAUGUUAACCUUAUAGAGCUAAGGUGGUUAUAGUUAGAAACCUCUACAAUAUCAUGGAUUGAUUUAGGGUUUCAAAAUAUUGUGAACUGUAAAACGUCUUAUAUUAUAGGACAGUGGUAGUAGUUAACAUGAUUGUUUCAGAUUCUGCCAUGGAAGCAUUUUACCCCUUUUGCAACUUUCGUUACACUAAAUUAGUACUGAAUUGUAAUAUUUCUUCUCUGAAUAUUUUACGUUACAGGAUUGGAACGAAAAGAAGAAACUACAGCGUCACAUAACUGCAGCAAAGAAGGUACUGCAUGAGAUGUAACAGGGUCGUAUUAUGGAAGGUUAGCUCUGAAUUAAUGUUCAUCAUAUGUGCUCUGUACUAAUGAUUGUCUUCAGGGAUUAUACCAUUCAUAUUGCUCUGAAUUAAUCGUACUCUCAUGCUACCUCAUUACCUUAUUAUGUUACAACUUUGCUGAAAAAGCCAUUGUUGGUAUCUGGAGUACAAACUGUAGAAUUAGGAUCCUCUGACACCUAUUUACUACUCUGAAUUAAUUAUUAUUCGAUGACCAUAUAAAUACACAUUUCCAAAUAAUAUAUAUUAGUUUGUCUAUUCAAUGGUGUCAUUUUCCAUUUUUAUAGGCAUUCAGAUCUCCCUUUUAUUUUUUUUCUAAGGAUGCACUUCAGUAUUAUGUAACUAUGCUGAUUUUACUGUCAGCAUAAAUAGUAGAUGAGUUAAGAUUUCUGCUACAUAACUUUACACCAUAACAAAUCUGGAGACUUCUAACUGGAAGACACAAUUUUCAUUUUUGAAGCGAAGAACAGAAUCCCUGCUGUUCCACGGAGUGAGUACAGUUAAUGGUAAAAAAAAAGGAAAAAGGAAGUCUGGAGCUCUCUCGGCUGUACAACAAAGAGGGGUUACUUCACGUACUCAUCAGCAGUGAGGCUAAUAUCAUCUCCAAUCAAGUGAAAAAUCAAGGGCACAGCCUUAGUUUUCUGUUGGAAGACUUCUAUUUCUUUCAUUCCAGAGGUGCUAGCCUGUGCAAGCAGUGACAGUUUACUUUUUAUUGAUCUGAAUCUUUAGGCUUCAUUUUGAAAUUUUGGGCCACGAACGCUUGAUCGCAAAAGUAACAGGUAUCAUGGUGAGGCCAGUUUCUAUUUUGCAUGUUGCCUUAUUUCUCUUCUAUCUGCAGUUUGCUUCCACGUUCUAUAUGUUUGCGAGGAAAUUUCAAAUCGUUUUGUAUGCUCAUUAAUUGGUGCAUCUAGAAUAUGUAUGUGAACCGUGUACCUUACGGAUUCCUUAAGGGCCUCAUGAUUGUUGGUGUUUUUUUUUUCAUAUGAAAACACCAAGGUUAUUAUCCUAACUAUCAUAGUUUGUACCAGCAGGAUUAUCAUAACAAUUAUGCAAUUUUUUUCCAGGUGAUUACAUAGUUAAAGGUAGUGACUUUUUUAGUCCUAUGUGAUUUCUUAUCAACUGAGCUAUCAAAUUGUGCAUUAUGUACUUGGUCACAACGUUGUAACCGGCACCCUCGCGCCAAGGCACGUUUCCGAUCUCAUUGGAUACUUUUGUACUUUAGUUAGAAGCAUAGUUGUCAGAAGCAAGCAUAAUGGCCAUAUGAUGAAGCCGAUAAGUGUUUAGUAGAGACUCCAAUCAAUUCGAUCUCUCCAUGAUCUUUACCGCAUAUGAUAUUUUCCUUCUGGGUAUUUAACUUUGUCAAGUGCAUGCUAUGGUUCAGAGCAAAAUUCAGUUUCCAGUUAUAAUUCAGUGAUUUUCUUACCUUGUAUUUUAUUUUGCAUAAUUCUAGAAAUUGCGGUGGCCAUCCGCAGAUCUACA